UACGAAGGGUGCAAGCGUUACUCGGAAUUACUGGGCGUAAAGCGUGCGUAGGUGGUUGUUUAAGUCUGUUGUGAAAGCCCUGGGCUCAACCUGGGAACUGCAGUGGAAACUGGACAACUAGAGUGUGGUAGAGGGUAGCGGAAUUCCCGGGUGUAGCAGUGAAAUGCGUAGAGAUCGGGAGGAACAUCCAUGGCGAAGGCAGCUACCUGGCCCGGUACGUGACGCUGAGGUGCGAAAGCGUGGGGAGCAAACAGG
rnacentral:rRNA from 1 species